GUGCCAAGCAGCCGCGGUAAUUCCAGCUCCAAUAGCGUAUAUUAAAGUUGUUGCGGUUAAAAAGCUCGUAGUUGGAUCUCGGCGGGCAGGGGGUGGUUCGCUCUUCAGCGCUACUGCCCCGCUUUGCCCGUGUGAUUGGCGGAGGUUUCGGGGUGCUCUUCGUUGAGUGACUCGGAGCGCCGUCAGGUUUACUUUGAAAAAAUUAGAGUGCUCAAAGCAGGCUUUUCACGCUUGAAUAUUCGUGCAUGGAAUAAUGGAAUAGGAACUCGUUUCUAUUUUGUUGGUUUUCGGAAAUCGAGUUAAUGAUUAACAGGGACAAUUGGGGGCAUUAGUAUUCAGACGACAGAGGUGAAAUUCUUGGACCGUCUGAAGACUGACUACUGCGAAAGCAUUUGCCAAGAGUGUUUUCAUUAAUCAAGAACGAAAGUUAGAGGUUCGAAGGCGAUCAGAUACCGCCCUAGUUCUAACCAUAAACGAUGCCAGCUAGCGAUCUGCCGAGUUUUUUUUGUAGGCUCCGCAGGAAGCUUUCGGGAAACCAAAGCUUUUGGGUUCCGGGGGAAGUAUGGUUGCAAAGCUGAAACUUAAAGGAAUUGACGGAAGGGCACCACCAGGAGUGGAGCCUGCGGCUUAAUUUGACUCAACACGGGAAAUCUCACCAGGCCCGGACACUGGAAGGAUUGACAGAUUGAGAGCUCUUUCUCGAUUCGGUGGGUGGUGGUGCAUGGCCGUUCUUAGUUGGUGGAGUGAUUUGUCUGGUUAAUUCCGAUAACGAACGAGACUCUGUCCUGCUAAAUAGUUGGGUCGUCCUUCGUGCGAUCCAAGUUCUUCUUAGAGGGACUGGCUGCGUCUAGCAGCACGAGAUUGAGCAAUAACAGGUCUGUGAUGCC
rnacentral:rRNA from 1 species